GAGACACUGGCAAAAAUGCAAAAUUUAAUGAUCAGUACAUUGAUACUGGCUUUCUUGCCUCUUACAGCAGUUGAAACUAGACACUGAUACACUUGCUACCGCUUUGUAGGCUGGUUUGAUUGUGCCUCUUGCAUAAUGUGGGUGGACUGAAGGGAGGUGACGCAGUGUGGCCACACAGAACACCUCUGCUAUAAGAAGGCAAGUGUGGCGUAACAAAGUUCCUAAAUGAAUAGACGCCAAAUCCGUGGCAGAUCUUCCCCUGGAUGCUCGCUUUGAUGAUGAGAAGCGCUGUGACCUUGAAAGCUCACUUGGGGUUGUGUGAGUAGUGAAUUAUUUUAUUAUCUUUAUUUUGUUUAGAGUUACUCCAUAAAAACAGCAUUAUUUAAGUCCUACACAUCUCAACCAAAACACCUUAUUAGUCUCAACAAAGCAUCACAGUAAUGUGUACAUUUAUGCAGAGUACAUAUAUUUGUACAUAUAUUUUAUUGAAUCACCUUUAGGAUCGUGGAGAUGUCACUAAAGGAGCUGCGCUACCGGAAUAGAAGGUCAUGAGAAGAUGUGGAUGAUUUUAAAAAAUUAUUUUGUAAAUUACGGAGUCCCAUUGCUGAUAUUGUAACUGUGACCUUAUUGUCCACCAUUUACAAGUGAUUAAAAAUCAGCUUCAUUCUAGCAUAUUGGCAAAAUAUUUACAAUGAACUUACAGUAUGAGUAAUACAUUUUGACUAUAAAUAAAAACAUUUAUUCAUUGAACUGUACACAACACACCAUAAUACUUACUAACUGUUAAAUG